GACGAACCGUCCUAACGUUGUUCGGAAUCACUGGGCUUAAAGGGCGCGUAGGCGGCCCUGCAAGUCGGGGGUGAAAUCCCACGGCCCAACCGUGGAAGUGCCUCCGAUACUGCGGGGCUCGAGGGAGGCAGGGGCAGCGGGAACUUCCGGUGGAGCGGUGAAAUGCGUUGAUAUCGGAAGGAACGCCGGCGGCGAAAGCGCGCUGCUGGACCUCUACUGACGCUGAGGCGCGAAAGCCAGGGGAGCAAACGGG
rnacentral:rRNA from 1 species